rnacentral:rRNA from 1 species
CGUCAAGUCAUCAUGGCCCUUACGGCCAGGGCUACACACGUGCUACAAUGGCGUAUACAGAGGGAAGCGACCUCGCGAGAGCAAGCGGAACCCACAAAGUACGUCGUAGUCCGGAUUGGAGUCUGCAACUCGACUCCAUGAAGUCGGAAUCGCUAGUAAUCGCAAAUCAGAAUGUUGCGGUGAAUACGUUCCCGGGCCUUGUACACACCGCCCGUCACACCAUGGGAGUGGGUUGCACCAGAAGUAGUUAGUCUAACCUUCGGGAGGACGAUUACCACGGUGUGAUUCAUGA